GGGGGUAUGGCUCAGUGGUAGAGCAUUCGACUUCCCAUCGAGAUGUCCCAGGUUCAAACCCGAGUGCCCCCU